ensembl:snRNA U1 U1 spliceosomal RNA
AUAGGGUCCCAGUGAGUUUAACCAUUUAAGGUGGUUUUCCCAGGGUAAAGUUCACCCAUUGCACUGCGAGUGUGCUGACUUCUGCGAUUUCCCCAAAUUUGGGAAACUAGACUGCAUAAUUUGUGGCAGUGGGGGACUGUGUUUGUGCUUUCCCCUA